UACAGAGGUCUCAAGCGUUGUUCGGAUUCAUUGGGCGUAAAGGGCGCGUAGGCUGCGGGGCAAGUCGGGUGUGAAAUCUCAGAGCUCAACUCUGAAACUGCACUCGAUACUGCUUUGCUUGAGGACUGGAGAGGAGAUUGGAAUUCACGGUGUAGCAGUGAAAUGCGUAGAUAUCGUGAGGAAGACCAGUGGCGAAGGCGGGAUCUCUGGACAGUUCCUGACGCUGAGACGCGAAGCGG
rnacentral:rRNA from 1 species